GCCUCCGUGGUGUAGUGGUAGUCACAAUGGCCUGUGGAGCCGUUGGCUCGGGUUCGAUUCCCGACGGAGGCC
rnacentral:tRNA from 1 species